AAUUUUAUUCAAACAAAAACCUUUGGUACAAUAAAUGCAUCUUUUAGCUUAAUGUUUUGAGAGAUUAGAAUGAGAGUGUUGAAACACACAAAAAGUGAUAGAGCUCCAAUUUAAGGUCGUGAGUGAAACCGGAUGCGGAUACCAUCGUCUUAUAUAAUAUAAAUUUUAUAUAACUUAUGAACCUAGACUGGCAUGUUAAGAUCUCUUAGAUCAUUUUGAUAAGUUGAAAUCCAAGAAUCAAUAACUUUAAUCUCUUUCUCUCUUUGAAUCACUAGCCACUCCGGAUCUUCUUUGCUCUUCAAGGUGAUAUCUAGACAAUGUGAACCUGCUCAUAUAUUAACUUUCCAUUCAAAUUUUGAGAGAGUUCAUCAUCAUCUCCAUAAACUAUAUGUUGGAUCAAAUGUUUAACUAAAACUGAAAAUUUACGAAGUUACCAUUUUUUGUCGUAAUGGCAACUAAAGUAUCUGAAAUAUCCUCCAAAACUCUAGAACAAUAUCAAAAUAAUUCCCAUAAAACCUUCAAUACAUUGAUACACCAAUAUCAUAUUUAAACAUGUAUGAACAAAUUAUUAGAUUUAUUUACCCGCCAACGCUAUAAGGAUCAGACAAUCCAUUAGAGAAAAUGAUGUUGCUUCCAAAUUUUUGGAGGAUUAACUUGACCUCCUGCAUUAAAUAGUUCAUAAUAAGUUCUAGCUAAUUAUUUUCAUCAAACUAUUACAUAUAGAAAAUCAACACAACUCUGAAUUAUUUUUACAAUUCUAUUAGUACGUUGAUUUUGUUGUUCUAAAUCAUGAAAUUUUAAAAAACUUUACAAAAAAUAAGCAAAAUGUAAGCAAAACAUAUGUAAAAUUAGAAAAAAUUCAAUCUAUAUAUACAUUUUUUGUAAGGAUUUUGGGUUGAAAAAUCCUUAAACUAAAUAUUAAUUAGUUUUUAGUCUCUACAAAUACUAUCUCAAAAUAAAUAUUGUCUUAACAAAACCUUACAAAUCUAGUUUCAUAUU
rnacentral:sRNA from 1 species